UCCUAAACCCGAUAGCAGCGGAAAACACGAAGGUGAGGAACGAGCCGAGGCUUUGAAGCGGAUAGCGGGACUAACA
rnacentral:ncRNA from 2 species